UACGUAGGGUGCAAGCGUUGUCCGGAAUUAUUGGGCGUAAAGAGCUCGUAGGCGGCUUGGCAAGUCGGGUGUGAAACCUCCAGGCUCAACCUGGAGACGCCACUCGAUACUGCUAUGGCUAGAGUCCGGUAGGGGACCACGGAAUUCCUGGUGUAGCGGUGAAAUGCGCAGAUAUCAGGAGGAACACCGGUGGCGAAGGCGGUGGUCUGGGCCGGCACUGACGCUGAGGAGCGAAGCGUGGGUAGCAAACAGG
rnacentral:rRNA from 1 species